ensembl:lncRNA
CUUGUGUGUUCUCAAGAGGUGGGCCCAAGGGACUUUCCUAGGCCAGGUCUCUGCCCUAUGGGUGGGUCAAUCUAUGUGACAGAUGGCUUUUUGGGGGUCCUGAGAGGGAGCCUCCAUAGCCUGGCCUGUCCCCCACCAGAAUCUCAGGACUCUACCAACAAGAACACCAUUGCCAUGUACAACCCUCGACCUUGUAUCACAGCUGGGAGGCCAACAUUAACCUCUUUCCCUUACAACUUGUCCAGCUAUAGCUGCAGGAGUCUCUGGUGGAAGCUGUGGGCUCCAGGCUGAGAAGGAUGCAGACAAGCAGUGCCUAGAUGGGACCAGGAGCCCCCCUGUGACCUUCAGGAUGAGUUGCCAGGCUGGCAGGGAAUCACUUACUACUCUGGAGAGCAAAGCAUCGCACUGCACAGGUGCAGCCUAAGGACACGCAGCAGACGCUGGUGCCUUGCUGCUGUUGUCCCAAGACACAGUGCACUGCAGCCCUGGGGCAUGAUGAUGGCCAGCAGAUCCUCCUGCCUAGCGCUCGUCAUGAACAAGCCUUGAGCCAGAGGGCCAGGGCCUUACAGUAGGAAUGUUCAGAGAGAAUCCUCAGCUGGUUUGCACAGUCGGAGCACUUGAAUAUCAAACAAGAAAAAUAAGAAAGCCUGGACCUUUGAAGAAAUCAAUAACUGUGAUGUUGAAGGAGUUUGUGUAGCCACAGUCAAGAGCCCAAGUGUGUUACACACCGAGGUUGUAGUGUUGGACAGAGCCACUUUGGGGAACUUCACCACUCUCCAGCUGAUUGUAGGGGUUGUGAAAACAAAGGUGUGAGAGACUUGCACCAGAAAGGAGGCUCAGUCCUCUGGGAGCCAGGCUGUCUGGCUCUUUAGCCCAGCUUUCCUUUUCCCAUAAGGAGCUCCAGACUCAUGGGCAGUAUAGGAUGGAUGACUCAAGAUAGAGAUGCUCGAAGUCCAGGAACAGAUCCUGUAGAUCAUGAACUGAAACGAUGGAGUAAGAGAAGGAAAAGCAGACAAUGUAUCAAAGGUUUUUUGUUUCCUUAAAAUGCAGAGUUUGAGGUCCAAUGGCACCAUUUCUCAAGCACGUGGUUCCAAAGGAGGCACAAGGCACCUGUUCCAACAAAGCCGGCAGAGUGGUCAGAUGGCAUUCCUGCUGGUGGCAAAAUGUUGCCCACACUUCUGCUCUUGUGUAAAGGAGGCAGCGACUCAGCAGCAAAGCUGACACGCAGGUGGCUUUUUAGGAUUGCCUUUCAGUAUGGAGCUGCCCUCCAGCCACUGUAAUCCAAUACAGCGAGAGGAAGUCACAGGCAAACUGAGCAGCCUGGGAAUCUCUGCUUCUGGGCUGCAGGAAGCCCGAGAGCAAGGCCCAACAUCUGCACCAGGUCCACCCUAGAGACCUUUGCUCCCUCCUCAGCCUCACAUGGAGCUUUUGGAAGGCAUGAAUUGGACCCUUCUCAUGAAACGUGCUGGAGCUCAGAUUCUGACAAAAAUGAAAAGGCAUGCAGGGCUGCCCUCUGAAACAGCACUCCAGCUUCAGCCAGGGUGAAUGACUGUUUCCAAUUACCCAGGGAAGUGGUGUCCCUCAGAACACUGCUGGGCAGUGGGAGAAGUGGAGGAGGGGGAGAGAUAGGGGGAGAGAGAGACACACAGAGAAAGAGAGAGAGAGAGAGGGAGAGAGAGA